UACGGGGGGAGCAAGCGUUGUUCGGAUUUACUGGGCGUAAAGGGCGCGUAGGCGGUCAGCACAAGUCAGUUGUGAAAUCUCCGGGCUUAACCCGGAAAGGUCAACUGAUACUGUGCGACUAGAGUGCGGAAGGGGCAACUGGAAUUCUCGGUGUAGCGGUGAAAUGCGUAGAUAUCGAGAGGAACACCUGCGGCGAAGGCGGGUCUCUGGGCAGUAACUGACGCUGAGGAGCGAAAGCGUGGGGAGCAAACAGG
rnacentral:rRNA from 1 species